rnacentral:lncRNA from 1 species
AUCAAAAUCAUGGCAAUUACUUGAGUUUUAAGUAACUUUCUCAAACUUUCCAAAAAUGAUCCAAAUACAUACAUAUUCAUCAUGGAAUCAAACUAGUGAUUAACACAUACAAAGUGAUGAUGAAAAACAUCAUACUCACAUACAAAAGCUUAAUCAAAGUCUAAAAGAAAUUGAGUGGGAGAGUUCGGGAACGGAGACAUAGACAAUCUCCCCCCUCCUUGUCACUCAAGAAUCAUGAGUUCUAAUCUCUUACCUUAAGCAAAGAUGAUGAUCCAAGCCUUCUCUUGCUCAAUCUUUC